GUAGUUUUGUCAUGGGUUUGACUAUUUGGUUCUUGGUCAUUAUUGUUAGUUGUCGAUUUCAUUGGGUUUGGUAUUUCUUCUUUUUUGUUUGUUUGCUCUUUUUCUCUAGAUAUUUUCCUACUAUGAAGUCGUUUCUCUGGAGUCUAUCUCAGGUCCUGACUCCUUCUUCUAUGUAUAGGUUUCUCUUGGUUUCUAUCAGGGAUUCAUGUUAUGUUUUAUUUUCUU
rnacentral:lncRNA from 1 species